rnacentral:rRNA from 1 species
AGAGUUUGAUCCUGGCUCAGGACGAACGCUGGCGGCGUGCUUAAUACAUGCAAGUCGAGCGACGAAGCAGAAAGGGGUAACCCUUUCUGUGGAAAGCGGCGAACGGGUGAGUAACACGUGGGCAACGUGCCCCGGACUCGGGAAUAACAACGGGAAACCGUUGCUAAUGCCCGACGAUCUCUAUGCACCGCAUGGCGCGUAGAGCAAAGCUCCGGCUGUCUGGGAUCGGCCCGCGGCCUAUCAGCUUGUUGGUGAGGUAACGGCCCACCAAGGCGAUGACGGGUAGCUGGCGUGAGAGCGUGGCCAGCCACACUGGGACUGAGACACGGCCCAGACUCCUACGGGAGGCAGCAGUAGGGAAUCUUGCGCAAUGGGCGAAAGCCUGACGCAGCGACGCCGCGUGAGGGAUGACGGCCUUCGGGUUGUAAACCUCUUUCAGCAGGGACGAAGCGAAAGUGACGGUACCUGCAGAAGAAGCCCCGGCCAACUACGUGCCAGCAGCGGCGGUAAUAC